rnacentral:rRNA from 1 species
AUUGAACGCUGGCGGCAUGCCUUACACAUGCAAGUCGAACGGCAGCAUGGAGAGCUUGCUCUCUGAUGGCGAGUGGCGAACGGGUGAGUAAUGCAUCGGAACGUACCGUGUAAUGGGGGAUAACGUAGCGAAAGUUACGCUAAUACCGCAUUCGACCUGAGGGUGAAAGCAGGGGAUCGCAAGACCUUGCGUUAUACGAGCGGCCGAUGUCAGAGUAGCGUAGUUGGUGAGGUAAAGGCUCACCAAGGCGACGAUCUGUAGCGGGUCUGAGAGGAUGAUCCGCCACACGGGGCCUGAGCCACGGCCCAGACGCCUACUGGAGGCAGCAGUGGGGAAUUUUGGACAAUGGGGGCCACCCUGAUCCAGCCAUGCCGCGUGAGUGAAGAAGGCCUUCGGGUUGUAAAGCUCUUUCGGCCGGGAAGAAAUCGCACAGGCUAAUACUCUGUGUGGAUGACGGUACCGGCAUAAGAAGCACCGGCUAACUACGUGCCAGCCGCCGCCGUAA